rnacentral:rRNA from 1 species
UACGUAGGGGGCAAGCGUUGUCCGGAAUCAUUGGGCGUAAAGCGCGUGUAGGCGGCUCGGUAAGUCCGCUCUGAAAGCCCGGGGCUCAACCCCGGGAGGCGGGUGGAUACUGCUGAGCUCGAGUCCGGAAGAGGAGUGUGGAAUUCCUGGUGUAGCGGUGAAAUGCGCAGAUAUCAGGAGGAACACCAAUGGCGAAGGCAGCACUCUGGGACAGUACUGACGCUGAGACGCGAAAGCGUGGGGAGCAAACAGG